rnacentral:pre_miRNA from 1 species
UCGUAAGCUGUCAGUGUGCCCAUGCUGGGAUGAGGUAGUAAGUUGUAUUGUUGUGGGGUAGGGAUUUCUUUUGCCCCAAUUAGCGAUAACUAUACAAUUUACUACUUUCCCCAGUGUGUGGAACGAUCACUGGGUCCUAGUGUAACCGA